rnacentral:misc_RNA from 1 species
AACGCAUCUUGCGCUCCUUGGAAUUCCGAGGAGCAUGCCUGUUUGAGUGUCAUUAAACCUUCAAACCUCGCGACCGUGAGGGCUUGGAUUGUGGAGUGUGCUGGAAACAAAAUAGGGGGCUCUUGUUCUGGGUCUUCUUCCAGCUCCUCUAAAAUGUAUUAGCAAAAAAACCUUGCCUCCUACUGCUUGUAAAGUGCUUUUGGCUUGAUAAUCUCCUUUGUCUAUGCCAACUGCUGUUGAGCUUUGGUGUAAGGCCUUUUCUGCUCACAAACACACCUAUGUUUUUAUCAUUUGACCUCAAAUCAGGUAGGACUACCCGCUGAACUUAA